GAGGACUUGCUAAGAAUUAGUGAGUUAUAAGAGGACUUAAUUGUAAUUGUUGCUAAUUAUUUGAUUUGAUCAAAUAAUAGGGUUGAGUCUUAGUCAAAUUAAAUUUAAAUUUAAUUUGAGUUUAAAUCAAAUUGAAUUUCAUCGAUCUAAAGGGUUUAGACUAACUCAAUAAGUACUUGAUUUAUUGUGAAACCUAAACUAAUUUGGAUUUGGAUUCAAGCUAAACUGGGAUUUUAAAUGUAAGAGAUUUUUAACUAACAGAAGGACUCUUUCCAGAUCUCACACUCA
rnacentral:lncRNA from 1 species